GAGCAUAGAACGACGUCUCUGAUUGGUCAACAAGUGAGUAAAGAUGCAUCUGAUUGUUCGAAAGCGUCAACCAAAGAGCUGCUGGUCACGGCAAGAUACAAACUCGCCGGAGCUCUGCAUGAACGGCACAUCCGGGACCUUCAGCACUCAGGAGAGAUUUAUCUUGAGGUAUGUAUUUACCUUUGAUAUCCAUGCGUCGACGCAAGCUCCGCGAGGUAAAGUUGUAUGUUUAACAAGCUAAUUAAGGUUAGUUAAACGGAAUUAAAACAAUACACAACCGAUUUGAACAAAUUGAAAGUGGUGAAUGAUGAUAAAUGCUAAAAAAUUACUUAAGAUUUAUCUUUAACAAUAGAUAUUAGAAGUUAAAUUUAACUGUUUUUAAAUUCCCACCGGAGUUAAAGGGACCUGCGGCCUUGCAUGUGCUCUGCAUCUUCAACUGCAGAGACAGUCAGUCUAAGCUCAGUGUAGCUAACUGCAACACACUUUUUUUUUUUCAACACAAGAUAUGCUUGGGGGGAUUUAAAUGAUAAUAUUAAUGUUUUCUUAUUCAGCACAAAUCAAUAAUAUUAUAGUUAUUUGCUCAUGGUCUGGUUCUCUGGCCCAGCGUUUCUGAUGUUAUUCUAAGGUUUUUGAGUUUCUUAUGUUUAAUGGCGGGUUAGUUGAGUUUGGCUUAACGUUAUUAAUAUCGUUUUAAGGAGUUUAUGUUAGGGCUGUAUAUUACCACGUUUGUAUUUUCAUGCCAUGUUUCCUGUUUUAUUUUGAAAGAGUCUGUUGCGUUCAGUUCAUUAAUCUCACUUCCCUGUUGUGUCAAUAGACUCAUUUGUCCAAGCUACUACCCUGCUGUCCCUCUGUCGUGUCUCAACCUCCAACAGGAAAGUAGAAGUCCUCAUAUGACACCAGGUGCCGAGGUCCUGUCUCAACCUCCUUCAGACCAAUUGAUGAGUGACACACCCACUUCAUUCUUCCAACAGACACCAGGUGCCGAGGUCCUGUCUCAACCUCCUUCAGACCAAUUGGCUCAAGGACCAAGUAUUCUGGGGGUUCCAAGCCACACGCUUUACUCAGCUGCCCUGGACAACAUGAAGGGCACCUCUGGCUCAAUCACCCUGAACAACAAAAACAUUAGCAACACUUCACCAAGAAGGGCUGGGACGGUGAGAAGCAAGUGGACAAAUGAUGAAGUGAAGGUUGCUGAGCGGCACGUUUCACUUCAUAAAAAGCUGCAAAGUACCAGGUAAAAAGGAAUGUGACUGCUGCCUCCAAGCAGAGCCGGCAGCUCUGAAAGACAGAGACUGGGUUGUCAUAAGGUACUACAGCCACAACAGGAUCAUAGCAUUAAAAGAAAGAUGCAAGAAAAAAAGAAACAAGCAAGAGAGAUACUUUGUUACUUCCACAGUUAUGUCAGUAUUGCAGUUUUCUGUAUUGCAUUGUUCUUACUCAUAAAUCUGUGGUUUAUGCUGGGUGCUUUUUGCAAUUAAAUGAUAAAAAAGGCAGAUAAUGUUCCACGUUUUUAUUCACAUGAACAUUCACUACAAAAUGAAUUAAUGCAUUACAAUAUCAAGACUUAAAAA
ensembl:lncRNA